rnacentral:rRNA from 1 species
AGUGAACGCUGGCGGUAGGCCUAACACAUGCAAGUCGAACGGCAGCACAGUAAGAGCUUGCUCUUACGGGUGGCGAGUGGCGGACGGGUGAGGAAUACAUCGGAAUCUACUUUUUCGUGGGGGAUAACGUAGGGAAACUUACGCUAAUACCGCAUACGACCUACGGGUGAAAGCAGGGGAUCUUCGCACCUUGCGCGAUUGAAUGAGCCGAUGUCGGAUUAGCUAGUUGGCGGGGUAAAGGCCCACCAAGGCGACGAUCCGUAGCUGGUCUGAGAGGAUGAUCAGCCACACUGGAACUGAGACACGGUCCAGACUCCUACGGGAGGCAGCAGUGGGGAAUAUUGGACAAUGGGCGCAAGCCUGAUCCAGCCAUACCGCGUGGGUGAAGAAGGCCUUCGGGUUGUAAAGCCCUUUUGUUGGGAAAGAAAAGCAGCAGGUGAAUACCCCGCUGUUCUGACGGUACCCAAAGAAUAAGCAACGGCUAACUUCGUG